GUUCCUGCUGGGGAAGAGAGGAUCCGUGUGUGUGAGGUGCAGGCCUGGAUUCCUAGCGCUUUGCCCGCCACCCCCACCCGCGUUGCCAGGUGCCAGCGGGUCUGUGCAACAGCCUGAACUUCGGGCGGCGGGGAGGACGCCACGUUUUACCUCCUUCUCCUUCUGGAAGCUCGGGCAACCAGGGCGCCCGGCCAGAGUUUAGAGAUGACCCAUCACACCUGAAGCCCGUAGGUCCAGCAGACACAUUUGGCAGAUCCAACAAUCGGAAGACCCGCCUGGGAGUUUCCCCUUCCUGUCCUGAGACCAGGAACCCACCCGUGGAACUCAGUGGUGUGCUGGGCGCCCGCCUUGACCGGAGGAUGGCGUGGCAGAAACUGUCUCGGUCCUGGAGGAGUUCA